UUUUAUCUAAAACCACAUAACAUUUCUAAAUUUCUUUGUCAAAGGUUUUGCUCUGUGCAUCCUUUGGGUGGCAGAACACACCGCAGUGCACACAUGUAAAGUGACAACAGUAACAAAUAGCAGUGGAGCAUCUGCCUGCCAGCUUUAAAGUAACUUUCUUGUCUUUGUCCUGCAACAUGUAAAAGUUAUUUCUGCUUUUCAGUUGCAGGCUCCCUACAUUGUAACUGCAUGGGAUGGAAACAGUAAUCAACACUUUGCUGGAUUGCUCUCUCAGGUUAAAUAAGGAACACUCCUUUCAGAAAUCAGUGUGCUGAAGAACCUGAUCAAUGCAGCUUCCACAGAUAUUUCACAAAGGCAACUGCAAACUGGCACUAGAUCGGACAUCCAGCAAUUCUUCCUAGGACUGUGUUUACCCCAGCAGUGUAGUUUUCUAUAAAAUCUUCUUUCCACUACUGGGAAAUCUUUUUUUUUUUUUCUUUUUUCUGGAAAGAUACAGCUGGACAAUGGAAACUGACUGUACUACUUCAGGCCUGGCAUUCUCACUGAUUGACAUCAUUCUCAGCCUGGAAUGCGAUUUCCCUGAAGAUUGCCAAAAACUGCAAAACUUUGUUACAGUAUUUUAAUUUUACAGACAAGUGAGUGAAACAUUUUUGUCAAACUAUCAAGACACAAACCAUUGAAUUCCCUGGGACAUACAAGCCUUUCAGUUAACUGGUUACCUUCAGUCCCCUCAGGUUUUCUUAUUGACAGAAAUUUAAUGUUCUCAUUAAAUGAGUAUUCCACAAAA